AUUGAACGCUGGCGGCAGGCCUAACACAUGCAAGUCGAACGAGUGGCGGACGGGUGAGUAAUGUCUGGGAAACUGCCUGAUGGAGGGGGAUAACUACUGGAAACGGUAGCUAAUACCGCAAACCAUCGGAUGUGCCCAGGCGGGAUUAGCUAGUAGGUGGGGUAACGGCUCACCAAGUCGACGAUCCCUAGCGGGUCUUAGAGGAUGACCGGCCACACUGGAACUGAGACACGGUCCAGACUCCUACGGGAGGCAGCAGUGGGGAAUAUUGCGCAAUGGGCGCAAGCCUGAUGCAGCAAUGCCGCGUGUGUGAAGAAGGCCUUCGGGUUGUAAAGUACUUUCAGCGGGGAGGCGUUACCCGAAGAGGAAGCACCGGCUAACUCCGUGCCAGCAGCCGCGGUAAUUC
rnacentral:rRNA from 1 species